AGACUGCGGUCAUACAGCCUGGCAGACGAACCAGAAACAUGACGUCACCUGGUGUCCCGGAGGCCUCCCUGACUCCAGCUCCCACGCCCCACACCCCAAGUGGCCCCCCUUACACCCAUGCCCAGUCUCACUUGAGCUUCACAUCUGAGGGCAGCAGCGGAACCCCACGGGAGGCCACAGGAAAGAGCAUGGGCCACAGCAGCCAGCGCCCCGUCAGCUCCAGGGCACGGUGUUGCACCCGCAGGGGCUGGCGGUUGAAGGUGAAGUUCACCUUGAAGGUCAGCCCAUCCACAAAGCGGCUCAGGAGGCUUUAGGAAGGGAGGAGGAAGGAAAAGCUCCAGUAAGAGGGCAAGGACUCUUUGCAUCUACUCUGGCUCCACUCUCUUUUCAAGACAGCCAUGCAAUCCCUCCAGGAGAAGCUACUGAGGCAUCUCAGGGUCCCCCUGAAGAAAAGCUUCCUGCUCAAUCCCUGGGGUCCCACUGGUCUCAGGGAGAAACAAAUCAGCUCCUCUGGCCUAAGAAACAUUUGUAGACCCUUCUAGCAGCUCAUGGUUCCCCCAACACCCACCUCAUGGAAAAGCUCAGCUUGACACGGUCCAAUUCCACCUUGUGUACAAAGCCCUUGUAGGUGACGGGGUCCUCCUGAUGUGUCUCAGAGGACAAAAGUGCAAACAGGUGGUCACCCCGUAGCACUGAGGGGCGGCUCUCGGUCACUCCGGGAACCUACGGGGGGUGGACACAAGCAAGCUUCUAUCCCCAGGGAUGGCUACUGGAGGACCCCUAGGUCUCCAGACCGCCUGUGAGGGACAAGGAUUGAGCGUUGUCCUUCUAUCCCAAGACCCAGGGAGCUUUGCUUCUUUCCUCUCCCGCCUGACAGGGCAAAAGUCGGGAUGAGCAAGGAGAGUCUGCCCGAGGUGCACAGAGAUAGCUGAGCCCAGCAGUCCUGGAAACUCUCCAGGACACGAUUCUCAGCCCAUCCGUGUGCCCUCUUGGCCAGCUCAGUUCCCGCUCUGCCCUUGAAUCCUUGUUCAAAACUCAGUU
rnacentral:lncRNA from 1 species